ACGAGUUCGAAAGUCGGCUGACCGUGCUGGCGGAGACGCAUGUGCACGUCGGUCGCGAACCAUCCACACACCGUGAACCUAUGGCCCGGAGUUUGUAUGCUCUGGGCACCAUUUUUACACUCUGCUGUAAAGGAAUGUCUUUUAUAACAUAAAUGAA
rnacentral:misc_RNA from 1 species